rnacentral:rRNA from 1 species
UUUAAAUUAAUUAAUUUAAUCAAAUUAUUAUAAGUUAUGUUCUUUAAAAUUUAAAAAUUUGGCGGUAUUUUAGUCUUUUCAGAGGAACCUGUUCUGUAAAUGAUAAUCCACGAUUAAUUUUACUUAAUUUAUUAGUUUGUAUAUCGUUGUUUAAAGAAAAUUUUAUUAGAAAUUUAAUUUUCGUAAAAUUUAAUUUUAUAAUAAAUCAAAUCAAGGUGCAGUUUAUAAUUAAGGAGAAAUGGGUUACACUAUAUUGAUAUGUGAAUAAUUAAUUGAAAAUUAAUUUGAAUUUGGAUUUGAAAGUAAUUAAUUAGAUAUAUUUUUAAUGAUUUAAGCUCUAAAAUAUG